CACUGACACACACAACAAUCUUCAUCAACAUGACCUUCAUCAUCAUCUUCAUCUGGACUCUCACAGCGUUUGCUCAAGAGAGUAGAGGACAGAUCAGCGUCACUCAGAGUCCCUCAACGACAGCAGCUCAACCAGAAGAAACAGUCAAAAUCAACUGUAGAACCAGCAGAUAUGUGUUCAGGUUUUCUAGGACAUACUAUUUCAGCUGGUACUUACAGAAACCUGGAGAAGCUCCUAAACUCCUGAUUUAUGCAACAAACCGCCGCCAGUCAGGAACUCCAUCUAGAUUCAGUGGCAGUGGAUCUAACAGUGAUUUCACUCUGACCAUCAGUGGAGUCCAGACUGAAGAUGCUGGACAUUAUUAUUGUCAGAGUGUACACAUCAUUAACAGUGAUGAUGUGUUCACACAGUGAUAAAGAGUCGCACAAAA